rnacentral:lncRNA from 1 species
AUAAAAUUAUGCUAUUAAAACUGUAAUUUUUACAAGGGAAUCUGUAUUUAUGGCCUCUGUAUUUAUGGCCUCCUCCCUCCUCCUCCUCCUCCUCCUUCCCCUCCUCCCUCCUCCUCCUUCCUCUCCUCCUCCUCCUCCUCCUCCUCCUCCUUCCUCCUCCUCCCACUUCUAGUAUAUCCUCGGGGCAAAGGAACAGUUUUAAUUCCUUAUUUUGAGCAUCCAAUUUGGAUCAUCCACUGCUGAGAUGCUUGCAUAAAAACUGUGUUUAUGUGUCUGUGUGUGUUUAAAUCCUUUUGUUGGGAUAAUGCCAUUAUUAAAGGAAAAGGAAUGAUUAAGCCAAGAACCACUGAUCGAUGGUAAGGCAGACAAAUCUCAGGACUAAGUAUCUUGGUUUUUCUUUUCCUAGCUUCCACUGAAGGAUCCUUUGAAAGAAGAGUUUCACCUUGAAGGAUGCUUCAAACCAACAUGGGGAUAUUUUGGACAACCUUAUGCUUCCUGGUAUAUGGUUUGAACACAGACCUGGGUGUCCUGGCUAUCGCGAGCUCCCAGCCCCAGGAGGACUCAGAAGGCCUUGACAGUCCUUCAGAAGACACCAUAUCUCCAGAGAUGCUACAGGAGAUGCUGUGGUUUUUCCGAAGAGAAGACCCAUCUGCAUGGAAUUAUUCUAUCCUGGUCCUUUCCGUUCUCGUUCUGCUCAUUGGUGUUGUGCUCCUGGGAGCAAAUAUUAGGGCCAACAGAAACCAGAAGGCCUUUCUCUUACGCAAAGAAGGCUAUGAAGUCACCCCGCUGGAUGAGGCAGAAGCGAAGCAAGCGUUUGUGUUGCUAAACAAAGAGAAUCCGGAUCAAGUUGGAGACAAUUUGCUUUCCAAAACACUGACCACGGGAGACGUGAUGGUACGCUGGAAGGAUGGGAAAACCUCACCCCUGUAUGCUGAUGCCAGCGAAGCAGAAGCAUAGUACCUCAUGUCUAUAUUUUGGCUCUUUGGGAAACCUGGGAGGAUUUCUGGACUAUUGACAUUUUUGGAAUGCGGGUUUCAAAGCCAAAUUCAUUAAGCAGAAUCAAAAAGCCAGCAAGACAUAAUGACUGCUUUUGAGUUUUACAAAAUCAAUAAUCCACCAAACAAUUCAUCUACCAGCUAUCUUUACAUGAUACGUUGAACUAGGUUGGCCUAGUGGCUUCCUUCACACAACAGGUUAAGCCUGGUCAGUUGGUUCAGGUGGUUCCUGUUAGUGUUAACCAAUUUUAUUUUGGGCCCUAAUGUAGUGUCACCGGAGCAUUCACGGGGUCAAACAAAGCUGUGGCAGGCCCCUCAAAGCAGCCAGAACUUCAAUUGCACAGUUGGGUUACCAUCUUGACUUGACCAUCUGUGAGGAGACCUCUGAUGUCAACCUGCCUCAAUGGGUUGAGUAGGGGGUGAACCCAGAAAAAGGGCCAAUUCAAGAACCAAUUAAGGAUAUGGUGUGAAGGUUGUUGCUUUGCUAUUUUGCGCCAACCCACAAAAAAAAUAAAUCUGUCAGAUUAUCUGGAAAGAUGUUCA